CAGCCGCCGCGGUAAUACGAAGGGUGCAAGCGUUACUCGGAAUUACUGGGCGUAAAGCGUGCGUAGGUGGUGGUUUAAGUCCGUUGUGAAAGCCCUGGGCUCAACCUGGGAAUUGCGAUGGAUACUGGGCGACUAGAGUGCGGUAGAGGAUAGUGGAAUUUCCGGUGUAGCAGUGAAAUGCGUAGAGAUCGGAAGGAACAUCUGUGGCGAAGGCGACUAUCUGGGCCAACACUGACACUGAGACACGAAAGCGUGGGGAGCAAACAGGAUUAGAUACCCCCGUAGUCCCUGUCUCUUAUAC
rnacentral:rRNA from 1 species